rnacentral:lncRNA from 1 species
GAACAUGAUGUGUGCUUCUCAUCCCAAUUCAGAUGUGACAAUGGAGAAUGCAUAUCCUCUGAACAGCGAUGUGAUUCUAUACGACAAUGUUUGGACGGGUCCGAUGAAAAUGAUUGUGACGUAUGCCAGACAGAUGUAGCAUUUCACUGCGAUAUUCUCAGAUGCAUUCCGAAAAGAUUGAAAUGUAAUAAAUAUGCGGAUUGUGAAGACGGCAGUGAUGAGCUGUUCUGUGGGAACGAAAUUUUGAAAUCGUGCAAAGAAUGGUGGAGCGCUGGGUACAGACAAAACGGAAAAUACAUAAUAGAGGGGAUACAAGUACAGUGUAAUUUCGAUGAAUAUCGUACUAAGGGUAUUAUAUAUACAGUUAUUGAAGCUCUUGACUGGUAUGGGGAUAUGAUAGUCGGCAUGAAUUCCAAUAUGAAAGAUGACGUAGUGCACCUAUCUUACACUUAUAAUUGUAUA